rnacentral:lncRNA from 1 species
AUGGGAACGGGGAUGGGAACGGGAGAGAGAGGGCUGGGAACGGGGAUGGGACCGGGAACGGGGAGAGCGGGCCGGGAACGGGACCGGGAACGGGGAUGGGGCCGGGAGAGCGGGCGGGGAACGGGGAUGGAACCGGGAGAGCGGGCCGGGAAAGGGGAGAGAGAGCCGGGAACGGGGAUGGGAACGGGAGAGAGAGGGCUGGGAACGGGGAUGGGAAUGGGAAUGGGAACGGGGAUGGGACCGGGAGAACGGGCCGGGGAUGGGACCGGGAGAACGGACCGGGAACGGGGAGAGCGGGCCGGGAACGGAAGAGCGGGCCGGGAACGGGAGAGCGGGCUGGGAACGGGGAUGGGACCAGGAACGGGGAUGGGAACGGGAGAGAGAGGGCUGGGAACGGGAAUGGGAAUGGGAAUGGGAAUGGGAAUGGGAAUGGGAAUGGGAAUGGGAAUGGGAAUGGGAAUGGGAACGGGGAUGGGACCGGGAGAACGGGCCGGGAAUGGGACUGGGAACGGGAGAGAGAGGGCUGGGAACGGGGAUGGGACCGGGAGAGCGGGCCGGGAACGGGGAUGGGACCAGGAAUGGGAACGGAAGAGCGGGCCGGGAACGGGACUGGGAACGGGGAUGGGAACGGGAGAGAGAGGGCUGGGAACGGGGAUGGGAACGAGGAUGGGAAUGGGAAUGGGAAUGGGAAUGGGAAUGGGAAUGGGAAUGGGAAUGGGAAUGGGAACGGGGAUGGGACCGGGAGAGCGGGCCGGGAAUGGGACUGGGAAUGGGGAUAGGAACGGGAGAGAGAGGUCUGGGAACGGGGAUGGGAAUGGGAACGAGGAUGGGACCGGGAAUGGGACUGGGAACGGGGAUGGGAACGGGAGAGAGAGGGCUGGGAACGGGGAUGGGACCGGGAAUGGAAACGGGAGAGCGGGCCGGGAAUGGGGAUGGGACCGGGAGAACGGGCCGGGAAUGGGAAUGGGAAUGGGAAUGGGAACGGGAAUGGGAAUGGGGAUGGGAACGGGGAUGGGACCGGGAGAACGGGCCGGGAACGGGACUGGGAAUGGGAAUGGGAACGGGGAUGGGACCGGGAACGGGGAGAGCGGGCCGGGAACGGGGAUGGGACCGGGAAUGGGAACGGGAGAGCGGGCCGGGAACGGGGAUGGGGCCGGGAGAGCGGGCCGGGAACGGGGAUGGGAAUGGGACUGGGAACGGGGAUGGGACCGGGAGAACGGGCCGGGAACGGGAAUGGGAAUGGGACUGGGAAUGGGGAUGGGACCGGGAGAACGGGCCGGGAAUGGGACUGGGAACGGGGAUGGGACCGGGAGAGCGGGCCGGGAACAGGGAUGGGACCGGGAGAGCGGGCCGGGAACGGGACUGGGAACGGGAAUGGGAACGGGAGAGAGAGGGCUGGGAACGGGGGUGGGAAUGGUAGAGCGGGCCGGGAACGGGGAGAGAGGGCCGAGAACGGGGAUGGGACCGGGACUGGGACCGGGGAGAGCGGGCUGGGAAUGGGGCUAG